CCAGGUCUGCAAAGAUACGAAGGAUGAUGAGUGCUUGCCACCAGCUUUCAUGGCCGCUCGCGGGAGAGACAUGCUUCAGGCGAUACCGCGGAAGAAGACCACCAUCAUAGCUAAGCUAAGCUAAGCUUAGUCACGGUGAUAGUAAACCAAACAUGCUGCAGUCCAGGCACCAAAGAAAUGAACAUCAGGGGAUGCAAAA